AUUGAACGCUGGCGGCAGGCCUAACACAUGCAAGUCGAACGAGUGGCGGACGGGCGAGCAAUGGCUGGGAAAAUGCCUGAUGGAGGGGGUUAACUACUGGAAACGGUAGCCAAAACCGCAUACCAUCGGAUGUGCCCAGGUGGGAUUAGCUAGUAGGUGGGGUAAAGGCUCACCUAGGCGACGAUCCCUAGCUGGUCUGAGAGGAUGACCAGCCAAACUGGAACUGAGACACGGUCCAGACUCCUACGGGAGGCAGCAGUGGGGAAUAUUGCACAAUGGGCGCAAGCCUGAUGCAGCCAUGCCGCGUGUAUGAAGAAGGCCUUCGGGUUGUAAAGUACUUUCAGCGGGGAGGCGUUACCCGCAGAAGAAGCACCGGCUAACUCCGUGCCAGCAGCCGCGGUAAUUC
rnacentral:rRNA from 1 species